CAAGGUAUAGCUCAACUCAAAGCAUCCAGCUUACACCCGGAAGACAUCAACUCCACCUGAUUACCUUGA
rnacentral:tRNA from 1 species